rnacentral:rRNA from 1 species
UUAAGCGACUAAGCGUACACGGUGGAUGCCCUGGCAGUCAGAGGCGAUGAAGGACGUGCUAAUCUGCGAUAAGCGCCGGUAAGGUGAUAUGAACCGUUAUAACCGGCGAUUUCCGAAUGGGGAAACCCAGUGUGACUCGUCACACUAUCAUUAACUGAAUCCAUAGGUUAAUGAGGCGAACCGGGGGAACUGAAACAUCUAAGUACCCCGAGGAAAAGAAAUCAACCGAGAUUCCCCCAGUAGCGGCGAGCGAACGGGGAGGAGCCCAGAGCCUGAAUCAGCAUGUGUGUUAGUGGAAGCGUCUGGAAAGGCGCGCGAUACAGGGUGACAGCCCCGUACACAAAAGCGCAUGUGCUGUGAGCUCGAUGAGUAGGGCGGGACACGUGGUAUCCUGUCUGAAUAUGGGGGGACCAUCCUCCAAGGCUAAAUACUCCUGACUGACCGAUAGUGAACCAGUACCGUGAGGGAAAGGCGAAAAGAACCCCGGCGAGGGGAGUGAAAAAGAACCUGAAACCGUGUACGUACAAGCAGUGGGAGCCCCACCACUAAGCCAGUGGUGAACUCCACAUACGCAUCCUUUGCUGAGGAUACGGUUAACGGAGCGAAAGCGACGUUCAACCGCAAAAGAAGCAGAGGGGGCUUAGUGGUGGGGUGACUGCGUACCUUUUGUAUAAUGGGUCAGCGACUUAUAUUCUGUAGCAAGGUUAACCGAAUAGGGGAGCCGUAGGGAAACCGAGUCUUAACCGGGCGUUAAGUUGCAGGGUAUAGACCCGAAACCCGGUGAUCUAGCCAUGGGCAGGUUGAAGGUUGGGUAACACUAACUGGAGGACCGAACCGACUAAUGUUGAAAAAUUAGCGGAUGACCUGUGGCUGGGGGUGAAAGGCCAAUCAAACCGGGAGAUAGCUGGUUCUCCCCGAAAGCUAUUUAGGUAGCGCCUCGUGAAUUCAUCUCCGGGGGUAGAGCACUGUUUCGGCUAGGGGGCCAUCCCGGCUUACCAACCCGAUGCAAACUGCGAAUACCGGAGAAUGUUAUCACGGGAGACACACGGCGGGUGCUAACGUCCGUCGUGAAGAGGGAAACAACCCAGACCGCCAGCUAAGGUCCCAAAGUCAUGGUUAAGUGGGAAACGAUGUGGGAAGGCCCAGACAGCCAGGAUGUUGGCUUAGAAGCAGCCAUCAUUUAAAGAAAGCGUAAUAGCUCACUGGUCGAGUCGGCCUGCGCGGAAGAUGUAACGGGGCUAAACCAUGCACCGAAGCUGCGGCAGCGACGCUGAUGCGUUGUUGGGUAGGGGAGCGUUCUGUAAGCCUGCGAAGGUGGCCUGUGAGGGUUGCUGGAGGUAUCAGAAGUGCGAAUGCUGACAUAAGUAACGAUAAAGCGGGUGAAAAGCCCGCUCGCCGGAAGACCAAGGGUUCCUGUCCAACGUUAAUCGGGGCAGGGUGAGUCGACCCCUAAGGCGAGGCCGAAAGGCGUAGUCGAUGGGAAACGGGUUAAUAUUCCCGUACUUGGUGUUACUGCGAAGGGGGGACGGAGAAGGCUAUGUUGGCCGGGCGACGGUUGUCCCGGUUUAAGCGUGUAGGUGUGUGUUCCAGGUAAAUCCGGUUCACUUUAACACUGAGGCGUGAUGACGAGGCACUACGGUGCUGAAGCAACAAAUGCCCUGCUUCCAGGAAAAGCCUCUAAGCAUCAGGUAACAUCAAAUCGUACCCCAAACCGACACAGGUGGUCAGGUAGAGAAUACCAAGGCGCUUGAGAGAACUCGGGUGAAGGAACUAGGCAAAAUGGUGCCGUAACUUCGGGAGAAGGCACGCUGACACGUAGGUGAAGUGAUUUACUCAUGGAGCUGAAGUCAGUCGAAGAUACCAGCUGGCUGCAACUGUUUAUUAAAAACACAGCACUGUGCAAACACGAAAGUGGACGUAUACGGUGUGACGCCUGCCCGGUGCCGGAAGGUUAAUUGAUGGGGUCAGCGCAAGCGAAGCUCCUGAUCGAAGCCCCGGUAAACGGCGGCCGUAACUAUAACGGUCCUAAGGUAGCGAAAUUCCUUGUCGGGUAAGUUCCGACCUGCACGAAUGGCGUAAUGAUGGCCAGGCUGUCUCCACCCGAGACUCAGUGAAAUUGAACUCGCUGUGAAGAUGCAGUGUACCCGCGGCAAGACGGAAAGACCCCGUGAACCUUUACUAUAGCUUGACACUGAACAUUGAGCCUUGAUGUGUAGGAUAGGUGGGAGGCUUUGAAGUGUGGACGCCAGUCUGCAUGGAGCCGACCUUGAAAUACCACCCUUUAAUGUUUGAUGUUCUAACGUGGACCCGUGAUCCGGGUUGCGGACAGUGUCUGGUGGGUAGUUUGACUGGGGCGGUCUCCUCCUAAAGAGUAACGGAGGAGCACGAAGGUUGGCUAAUCCUGGUCGGACAUCAGGAGGUUAGUGCAAUGGCAUAAGCCAGCUUGACUGCGAGCGUGACGGCGCGAGCAGGUGCGAAAGCAGGUCAUAGUGAUCCGGUGGUUCUGAAUGGAAGGGCCAUCGCUCAACGGAUAAAAGGUACUCCGGGGAUAACAGGCUGAUACCGCCCAAGAGUUCAUAUCGACGGCGGUGUUUGGCACCUCGAUGUCGGCUCAUCACAUCCUGGGGCUGAAGUAGGUCCCAAGGGUAUGGCUGUUCGCCAUUUAAAGUGGUACGCGAGCUGGGUUUAGAACGUCGUGAGACAGUUCGGUCCCUAUCUGCCGUGGGCGCUGGAGAACUGAGGGGGGCUGCUCCUAGUACGAGAGGACCGGAGUGGACGCAUCACUGGUGUUCGGGUUGUCAUGCCAAUGGCACUGCCCGGUAGCUAAAUGCGGAAGAGAUAAGUGCUGAAAGCAUCUAAGCACGAAACUUGCCCCGAGAUGAGUUCUCCCUGAGACUUUAGGUCUCCUGAAGGAACGUUGAAGACGACGACGUUGAUAGGCCGGGUGUGUAAGCGCAGCGAUGCGUUGAGCUAACCGGUACUAAUGAACCGUGAGGCUUAACCUU